GGUCGCUUUGUUCAAGAUUUCGUUUUCUAAAACAACGUGAAAAUAAAGCCAAUCUCUCAUCAAUCUCUAUUAAACCUGUACCAACCUGCAGUAUAUGCUAUUUCAAACGUGGGGUUCGGUAUAUAUAACUAUGACUAUGUCGUAUUUUACACUUACUGACCUGCCGCGUGGUUUGUAUAUAUUUGUUUCUGAACUACCUGAAAAUAACUAUAGAAACUCUUCGACAUUUUUAGCUUUCUAACGAAGAUCUUCGUUUGUUUUAAUCUUUGUCAGGUCAGAACUAUCUGCCGAAUGGACCACCAUGUUUGUUUGAGACAUCUUUUCAGGUAGUUCAGAAACAAACCACAUCAGCUUAUUGUAGAAUACUACCUAUCCUGGAUCCACUCGUUUGACAUUUUUU